rnacentral:rRNA from 1 species
GCGUAAAGAGCUCGUAGGCGGUUUGUCGCGUCUGCCGUGAAAGUCCGGGGCUCAACUCCGGAUCUGCGGUGGGUACGGGCAGACUAGAGUGAUGUAGGGGAGACUGGAAUUCCUGGUGUAGCGGUGAAAUGCGCAGAUAUCAGGAGGAACACCGAUGGCGAAGGCAGGUCUCUGGGCAUUAACUGACGCUGAGGAGCGAAAGCAUGGGGAGCGAACAGGAUUAGAUACCCUGGUAGUCCAUGCCGUAAACGUUGGGCACUAGGUGUGGGGGACAUUCCACGUUUUCCGCGCCGUAGCUAACGCAUUAAGUGCCCCGCCUGGGGAGUACGGCCGCAAGGCUAAAACUCAAAGGAAUUGACGGGGGCCCGCACAAGCGGCGGAGCAUGCGGAUUAAUUCGAUGCAACGCGAAGAACCUUACCAAGGCUUGACAUGAACCGGAAACACCUGGAAACAGGUGCCCCGCUUGCGGUCGGUUUACAGGUGGUGCAUGGUUGUCGUCAGCUCGUGUCGUGAGAUGUUGGGUUAAGUCCCGCAACGAGCGCAACCCUCGUUCUAUGUUGCCAGCGCGUGAUGGCGGGGACUCAUAGGAGACUGCCGGGGUCAACUCGGAGGAAGGUGGGGACGACGUCAAAUCAUCAUGCCCCUUAUGUCUUGGGCUUCACGCAUGCUACAAUGGCCGGUACAAAGGGUUGCGAUACUGUGAGGUGGAGCUAAUCCCAAAAAGCCGGUCUCAGUUCGGAUUGGGGUCUGCAACUCGACCCCAUGAAGUCGGAGUCGCUAGUAAUCGCAGAUCAGCAACGCUGCGGUGAAUACGUUCCCGGGCCUUGUACACACCGCCCGUCAAGUCACGAAAGUUGGUAACACCCGAAGCCGGUGG